rnacentral:lncRNA from 1 species
GGCUUCAGGUUGAAAGGCGCGAGCGCCACCCACGCAGGCACAAGGGCUCCUAGUCGUUUUCUUUUUAACGUAAGAUUUUCCUCUUUAACAAGGAAGUAGAAAAAAUAUAAGUUGUGAAAUAAAUACUAACCGCCCUUAUAUGUACUCGGGAACGUUCGUCCUUUAGGUUUCCUCCUGGCGCGUGGGCGCCGCCGAUCAUUGCGGGGCUUAUUUUGGUUCUAAAGCCCGGGGCAGCCCGGCCUCCCUGCCUGGCCUCGGCGGGGACCCGGAACCUGGGGCCCCGGACCGGGCCUGACCGCCCUGGCCGGUCCCCACUGAUGGUGGCGGUCGGUCCUGACUGUCCUGAUGGCAGCGACCAGGCUGGACUCGGGCUGUGCGGGGGCGAGGGGAGCAGCGCGGGGUGACGCCCGGAGAGCGGCCUGGAGAGCGCGUGCCUCAGAAGGCGCGGGCACCCUGUCCCCUUGCAGAUGGGGACGCGGGCCCUGGUGGCCGUGGAGGGGAGGAGGGGCGUGGACGCUGCGGGGCAGAGGAAGCUGGGCGAGUGCGCACUUGGUCCCCUUGCUCCUCCCUGGGACCUCGGGCUCCACAGGACAGCCGCCGAGGCCCACGUGCGCACUCGGUGAACCGCAGUCCAGACACAGGCGGGGAGGCGCGCCGGGAAGGAGAGGCCAGGUGUUGGCCUGGGGGUGCUAAGUGAACCCCCAAGCUCGCGGAGACAGCGGGGCAACAGCAAAACGAGCUGUGCGGUCCAGGGCGAGGGCCCGGAGUCCUCCCCAGGGGUGGGCUGCAGAGAAGCCCCUCUCCAGGCCCUGCUCACCUGCAAAGUGUUCCCGAGCUCCUGUGCCCCCAACAGCAAUCCCGGCCCCGCUGACACCCAUGCCUGUCACCCGCUGGGUUUCUUGAGGUCUGAGGACAGUGGCUGAGGGUGCUUGGGCGCUGGGAUGGAGAGGGAUGUCCCGUCCCAGCCUGUGCUUGUUAAAGAGGGCAAGGCUGCCUUUAUUCAAGGGGGGGCUGCUAAAGCGAGAUGUUGGGUUUGGGGAGGCAGAUCCAGCUCAGCUCCAGAUAGAAAAAGUGGGAAUUGACAGCCCAGGCGUAGGGUCGGGAGUGGAGAGAAAAUUACUAAGAGGAAGGGUCAGGGGCAAGGCGGGUUCUGGCUGCACAGACAGGAUUUUUGCUGAAAAGGCAGGCAGUGUGGUCACAGACGUAGGGUGGGAGUUGAGGACUUUGCUCAGGCACCAAGGGUAGAGGAUUUUCACUAAACCGACUCAGCAGGAUUCUUGCUAAAUCAGCCUAAACCGGCAAGGUCAGGGACUGGUCACAGGGAGGGCUCAGAGGAGCCUGACUCGAGUGUGGUCAAAGGAGAGAGUCUUUGUCAUCUUUUAAGAGGCGAGAGUGACAUAUUAGUGAGAAACGGUGAAGGGAUCAUGCUCAGGCCAGCAGCCCCGAGUUUGAGAUGAGGACAGGCUGGGUCCAGGAGGGGCUGCAGGAAUAGGGGGCACCUGGGCCUGCAGAAAGUGGGGAGCACAGCCCCCAGAGCAGGCACCCCGGGGUAGACCUCAGUGUGUCCUGCCCUGUGGGAGUGGCAAGGCCAGACCAAGCUGGAUGUGAACCAGUCCUAGAACACCGCCUAGAAUUUGGAUUGUAAUUUGUUAUCGAUGAUAUUGCUGCUUGGUCUCUCUCCUCUUCCUCCCCGCCCCCACCCAAGAUGGAGUCUGGCUUUGUCGCCCAGGCUGGAGUGUGGUGGCAUGAUCUUGGCUCACUGCAACCUCCGCCUUCCGGGUUCAAACAAUUCUCCUGCCUCAGCCUCCCAAAUAGCUGGGAUUACUGGUGCGUGCCACAGCACCAAGCUAAUUUUUGUAUUUUUGGUAGAGACGGGGUUUCAUCAUGUUGGCCAGGCUAGUCUCAAACUCCUGGCGUCGUGAUCCGCCCACCUCGGCCUCCCAAAAUGCUGGGAUUACAGGUGUGAGCCACCGUGCCCAGCCUCUAUAGCAUGGCCAUUGUGGCUACAUCAGUCCUGGCUAAUAGAGAUUUUAGCGCACUCAGAUUCUGUUGGCUAAUAAGAAUUAAUUAUAAUUCUGGGGUAUUUAACAAUAUCAUUAUACAGUCUUCAUUGUUGCAAAUGGAGAAUGAAAUCGGGUGCAUGUGACACUAAUGUGACCUGUUCAUGCUCUGUCACUUACACGGAGUUAAGUAACAUAGUCCUGGGCAGGAAGACUCCUUCCCCACUUCUGUCCAGGAGCUCCUUACUCGAUUCUGGGGAGCAGAAAGGCUUUCAGCGGCCAAGGGGAGUGACAACAACCAGAAAUGAGACACCUCCCAGAGCCCUUUGGUGUUACCCUUUCCAUUCCAUCAGCCACAGCGUCCACCCCAGGUAGCUGGGUCCUGAGUUCACCAUCUCAGGACGUUUUCCUACCUGGUUUGUCUGAAUUAUUAUUAUUAUCGAUCGUUGAGACAGGGUCUCAGUCCAUUGCCAAGACUGGAGUGCAGUGGUGUGAUCCUGGCUCACUCAACCUCCCAGGCUCAGGCGAUCCUCCCAGCUCAGCCUCCUGCGUAGCUGGGACCACAGGCAGGCACCACCAUGCCUGGCUAAUGUUUUUUGUAUUUUUGGUAGAGAGCAGCUUUCACUAUGUUGUCCAGGUUGGUCUCAAACCGCUGCCUGAGCCUCCCAAGGUGCUGGGAUUACAGGCGUGAGCGACCAAGCUCAGCAAUCUGAAUUAUUUAUGCAGAAUUUUUUUUCUCUAGCUGGUAGAGCUGUUUAUAUGCACAUUUAUUUGGGGGCAACUCUUCUCCAUUGUCACAGAUUUUUUUUUCCAAGCCAUUCCUGGGGGAUUCCUGGGAACCACGUGGGAGAGGCGUGAGGAAGUGACCUUCAUCCUGAGAUAGGUCCCGAAGCACCCUCUGGUGCCUCUACUCAAGUGAGAAGUUUGGCUGCUGUAACUGACUGGGAAGCUUAAAAUAACAGACAAUCAUCUCUCACAUUUAUGGGGACUGGGAAGUCCAAGACCAAGUUGCCAUCUGGGGAGGGCCCGUUCCUCACAGCGCCUUCCAGCUCAGGCCUCAUUUAUAAGGGUACUCAUCCCAUCCACGACAAUGGGUCCUCAUGACUUACUCACCUCGGAAAGCCCCCACCCCCUAAGACCAUCACAUUGUGGGUGAGGAUUUCAACAUAGGAAUUUGGGGGCUGCAAACAAUUACACCAUGGCAGAGCAUAAGGUGCCUUCCCCCACGUGCUCGGGUAGACCCAGCGUCUCAUGCUAGCAGCUACGUGGAAUUGUUAUUUUUUCUGGAGAACUCUGGGACCCCUCUGAUGUCUUGGAGCACCUGCACAGGCCAUUCACUGUCUGAUGUCUUGGAGCACCUGCACAGGCCAUUCACUGUGCACGCUGUGAGGCCGUCCUCUGGGGAGUUCUGCUGUUCUGUGGGUUCUGUCUGUAUCAGUGUCCCAGCGGGAAUGCAGGGCACAUUAGCGUCGUCCCCAGAGGGCUUGGUAAGGGGACUGUUUGCAGAGACACAGGCAGAGUGCUGGAAAACUACCAAAAAAGUGCAGUGUUCUGGGCCUAAUAAUAGCAGAGCUAUUCUCACCCUGGUCUGAAGGCAGGAGGGGAGGAGCAGUUAAUGGAUUCUGGAAGUCAGGUUGCACAGAGUCACCUUGAAAGAUGCCAUGACCUUCACCGAGGGCCAGAGAGAGACUAAGAUGACCCCACAGGAGAAUAAGACCUAGACCUCAUCCUCCUGCCUGCUGCCAGGCCCUGCCAGGGGUCGCCAAUGGCAAAACAGGACUGGAAGCCAGAGGCCACGGAAGCCCAUGGAUGAAGUCCACAGGCCAGCCUCCCCGAGAGCAGCCUGGACGGUCCGCAGGAGACGUAUCCUUUCUUAGGCGUCCCACACCGCGUGCUCCUGUUCAGCCCUGCUGAGGUGGAAGCUUGGAGUGGGUCACGGUGGAUGCAUUGAUGCUGCAGACGUCAGCAAGUGCUACAAACCAGAGCUGGCCUUUAACUCAAAGUGAUGGAGAAGGUGUUAAUAAUGCAGAUUAGACUUAAAAGUGUUGCCAUUGCACUGUGAACAGCAAAAAAAUUGAAGAAUCUUCUGGCAUUUAAAAACAAUUAUUCGAUUCAGCAGAGAAGUCACUGACAAACAAGAGAUCACACUGACUGCUUUGUUGUUUUGGUUUUAUCUUACUCAUUAAUGCAAAUAAGAACAUUCACCAACAUUUGUGUAGGGCCUCCCCUCCCUGGUCAAAUACAGCUAUAGGCUCCCUGCAGAUACAAGUUUUCCAGAAAUGAACAGAUGUUUUCUGUGAGAAUCAAUUGGUCAUAUACAAUUUACAAAAAUGAGUACCGUAUACUAUGUUUGUAAACUGUAUGCUGCAGAUGCUUUAUAUCACUGAAAUUUAUAAUAAACUUAUCCACGUAUAUACAUGCAUGCAUUUUUGUUCCUGAGAUCCAGCUGUGAAACGUUUAUCAGCACAUAAAUUACCAGCACAUGGUUUUUUUUUUACCCACUAGGUAAAAUCUUUGUUUAUUACAUCAAAUUCUUGUAGUUUUUGUAUUGCAGUUAUGCAGAUAUUGAUUAAUGCAAUAUUACUGCAAUUAUACAGAUACCACAAUUUCAGAUAUUGAUCAUCAUGUUCAGUUGGUUUCUAAGGAGGUUUACUUACCUCAUGGUACACCUAGUUUGCAUAGUUUGGUUAUAUUUAACUCUUAUGCUAAUUGUGGGAAGUCACUGAUUUAUUCGACAGAUGCUCCUGUCGUCUUUCCUGAGCACAUCCUGGCCAAGGACGCUGCCCCCAGGAGAUUUGAGAAGAAGUCCUGUGAGGAUCAUGUCAGUGUUUUCAAAUACUCAUAGAAAGGCCAGAGGGACUGACCCAGAAUUACCAAUGUAAGCUUGACCCUGAGAUAACAAUGCGAUUUUAUGUUUGCGUGCAUAAAACCAGUGCAAGAGGCUGAUCACUCCAGAUCCCUUAUGUAAGCCAAUAAAAAGUAGUUUCAUUUUUUAUUUCAUUUAAAAAA